AAAUUGAAGAGUUUGAUCAUGGCUCAGAUUGAACGCUGGCGGCAGGCCUAACACAUGCAAGUCGAACGGUAACAGGAAGCAGCUUGCUGCUUUGCUGACGAGUGGCGGACGGGUGAGUAAUGUCUGGGAAACUGCCUGAUGGAGGGGGAUAACUACUGGAAACGGUGGCUAAUACCGCAUAACGUCGCAAGACCAAAGAGGGGGACCUUCGGGCCUCUUGCCAUCAGAUGUGCCCAGAUGGGAUUAGCUGGUUGGUGAGGUAACGGCUCACCAAGGCGACGAUCCCUAGCUGGUCUGAGAGGAUGACCAGCCACACUGGAACUGAGACACGGUCCAGACUCCUACGGGAGGCAGCAGUGGGGAAUAUUGCACAAUGGGCGCAAGCCUGAUGCAGCCAUGCCGCGUGUAUGAAGAAGGCCUUCGGGUUGUAAAGUACUUUCAGCGGGGAGGAAGGUGUUGUGGUUAAUAACCGCAGCAAUUGACGUUACCCGCAGAAGAAGCACCGGCUAACUCCGUGCCAGCAGCCGCGGUAAUACGGAGGGUGCAAGCGUUAAUCGGAAUUACUGGGCGUAAAGCGCACGCAGGCGGUCUGUCAAGUCGGAUGUGAAAUCCCCGGGCUCAACCUGGGAACUGCAUUCGAAACUGGCAGGCUUGAGUCUUGUAGAGGGGGGUAGAAUUCCAGGUGUAGCGGUGAAAUGCGUAGAGAUCUGGAGGAAUACCGGUGGCGAAGGCGGCCCCCUGGACAAAGACUGACGCUCAGGUGCGAAAGCGUGGGGAGCAAACAGGAUUAGAUACCCUGGUAGUCCACGCCGUAAACGAUGUCUACUUGGAGGUUGUGCCCUUGAGGCGUGGCUUCCGGAGCUAACGCGUUAAGUAGACCGCCUGGGGAGUACGGCCGCAAGGUUAAAACUCAAAUGAAUUGACGGGGGCCCGCACAAGCGGUGGAGCAUGUGGUUUAAUUCGAUGCAACGCGAAGAACCUUACCUGGUCUUGACAUCCACAGAAGAAUCCAGAGAUGGAUUUGUGCCUUCGGGAACUGUGAGACAGGUGCUGCAUGGCUGUCGUCAGCUCGUGUUGUGAAAUGUUGGGUUAAGUCCCGCAACGAGCGCAACCCUUAUCCUUUGUUGCCAGCGAUUAGGUCGGGAACUCAAAGGAGACUGCCAGUGAUAAACUGGAGGAAGGUGGGGAUGACGUCAAGUCAUCAUGGCCCUUACGACCAGGGCUACACACGUGCUACAAUGGCGCAUACAAAGAGAAGCGACCUCGCGAGAGCAAGCGGACCUCAUAAAGUGCGUCGUAGUCCGGAUUGGAGUCUGCAACUCGACUCCAUGAAGUCGGAAUCGCUAGUAAUCGUGGAUCAGAAUGCCACGGUGAAUACGUUCCCGGGCCUUGUACACACCGCCCGUCACACCAUGGGAGUGGGUUGCAAAAGAAGUAGGUAGCUUAACCUUCGGGAGGGCGCUUACCACUUUGUGAUUCAUGACUGGGGUGAAGUCGUAACAAGGUAACCGUAGGGGAACCUGCGGUUGGAUCACCUCCUUACCUGAAAGAAGC
rnacentral:rRNA from 2 species